CACGUCGGCACCAAAUCCGUACGAGCAAGUUUCUCCGAGUUAACAAUUGUAUUUGACCAGGAAAUCGUGAUCCGUAAUACCAGGACUUCAUUGAUUCCCGUCUUCGUUUUCGUGAAAUCUCAGGUCUGAACCAGGAGGUGAUAAAUUGGCGGAAGAGUCGUCCAGAGUGAUUGAAGUUUCAAAAAAUGAGAAACUGCCAGUGCAAUUGCAAGAAGGUCAAGUUGCUUGCGUUCCAACGGGUGAGAGACGCGGAACUAUCUGGUGCAAAAGUCGCUGAUGAGCUUAAAAAAGAAAUACGAAUGUAUCCUCAUAAUGUGAGGCUAUUUCGGAAAUAUGAACAAAUCGAUGGAGAUUUUCGAAGAUGCGGGAACACUCAUUGUAGCUAUGUGCUCUGCUGCUGAAACUGCACGAUCACUAUCAAAAUCUUAUUGCAGCGAUAGGUCAACGACACACUGGAUAACAACGAUUUCUUACAUUGGAAGCACACCGGGAGAAUGGAAUGCAUUUCUGGAAUGAUUUCUGCUCUACUCGGAUUAGUGGAGAUCCAACAGUUUCAGGAAUUUUUCAUUCUCGUGAAUGGUUCCAGAGAUGUACCUCCCAGGAAUGAAAUAUGUAUAUGUACGCUUUGAGAAGGACCUUGCUACAUCAAACGAGAUUUUUGCCAUGGUUCGAAACGCGCCCAAUUUGCUACUCAUGCGCGGUUUAGAUGAUACUUAUGUUAUAAACUUUUUAUGAUAUUUUAAUUCGAAACAUAGAAUAAACGUUUUUUUGAAAUAUUA